rnacentral:rRNA from 1 species
AGAGUGAACGCUGGCGGCAGGCCUAACACAUGCAAGUCGAACGGCAGCACAGGAGAGCUUGCUCUCUGGGUGGCGAGUGGCGGACGGGUGAGGAAUACGUCGGAAUCUGCCUAUUUGUGGGGGAUAACGUAGGGAAACUUACGCUAAUACCGCAUACGACCUACGGGUGAAAGCGGAGGACCUUCGGGCUUCGCGCAGAUAGAUGAGCCGACGUCGGAUUAGCUAGUUGGCGGGUAAAGGCCACCAAGGCGACGAUCCGUAGCUGGUCUGAGAGGAUGAUCAGCCACACUGGAACUGAGACACGGUCCAGACUCCUACGGGAGGCAGCAGUGGGGAAUAUUGGACAAUGGGCGCAAGCCUGAUCCAGCCAUGCCGCGUGUGUGAAGAAGGCCUUCGGUUGUAAAGCACUUUGUCCGGUAAAGAAAAGCAACUCGGUUAAUACCCGGUGUCAUGACGUACCGGAAGAAUAAGCACCGGCUAACUCGUCGCCAGCAGCCGUACG